GAUGAACGCUGGCGGCGUGCCUAAUACAUGCAAGUCGAGCGAACAGACGAGGAGCUUGCUCCUUCGACGUUAGCGGCGGACGGGUGAGUAACACGUAGGUAACCUACCUAUAAGACUGGGAUAACUUCGGGAAACCGGAGCUAAUACCGGAUAAUAUUUCGAACCGCAUGGUACGAUAGUGAAAGAUGGCUUUGCUAUCACUUAUAGAUGGACCUGCGCCGUAUUAGCUAGUUGGUAAGGUAACGGCUUACCAAGGCAACGAUACGUAGCCGACCUGAGAGGGUGAUCGGCCACACUGGAACUGAGACACGGUCCAGACUCCUACGGGAGGCAGCAGUAGGGAAUCUUCCGCAAUGGGCGAAAGCCUGACGGAGCAACGCCGCGUGAGUGAUGAAGGUCUUCGGAUCGUAAAACUCUGUUAUUAGGGAAGAACAAACGUGUAAGUAACUGUGCACGUCUUGACGGUACCUAAUCAGAAAGCCACGGCUAACUACGUG
rnacentral:rRNA from 1 species